rnacentral:lncRNA from 1 species
GCUUAGCAACCUGCUCGGGACCCCUCUCUGUGACUGUGAGCUGUUCUGUUCUUUUGCCUAUUAAACUCCUGCUCCAAACUCACUCGAUGUGUGUGUGCAUGUCCUUGACCUCAAUAUCUGGUCGUGUGACCAAGAACCUCAGUAUUCACCCCAGACAACAAGGCUGCUUCAUUUUGAGGGCUCGUCUGGGAUUUGAAGGUGACUUCAUCAGAAUGGGAUCUGCAGUCCAGCUGAAAACCUGCCCUUGCCUGAGCCCAGCCACUUUCUCCCAGAGAAAACUGGAGAACCUAAACAUGAUUGUGAACAGAAUGGCUUCCGGUGGCCUGGGACUCCUUGGGGAAACAGAAAAUGCACCACAAAUCCCAUUUUAGGAAAAAUCUGUUUUCCUCGGAGCCCCUGGAAUUAAAGGCGCAGUAAGAUUGAGGAGCUAAAAACAGACUUGGGUGGAUGUCUGCAGCUGCAAGAAGAUGUGUGGGAACAGACACAGAAACUCUCCCUCCCAGAUAAGCAAGACAAAGAAACACAGAAUAAGAGUCCAUCUAUGUGGUCAGAGAAUGGGAUAAGAGCUGAUUUAAAAAAACUCUGCUCUAUAUAGAAGGCACACCUGGUCCCAACCAAACCACUGGACCCUAGGAGGAUAAGACCUCCUCUGCUCAUGAGCCCCCUCCUCAGUAGCCCAUUUAUAAAAACCCUGACAAUUUUACUACCACUUGGCAACCCGCUCGGGACCCCUCUCUGUGAUGGAGAGCUGUUCUUUUCUUUUGCCUAUUAAACUCCUGCUCCAAA